AUUGAACGCUGGCGGCAUGCCUUACACAUGCAAGUCGAACGGCAGCACGGGAGCAAUCCUGGUGGCGAGUGGCGAACGGGUGAGUAAUGUAUCGGAACGUACCUUUCAGUGGGGGAUAACGUAGCGAAAGUUACGCUAAUACCGCAUAUUCUGUGAGCAGGAAAGCAGGGGAUCGCAAGACCUUGCGCUGAUUGAGCGGCCGAUAUCAGAUUAGCUAGUUGGUGAGGUAAAGGCUCACCAAGGCGACGAUCUGUAGCGGGUCUGAGAGGAUGAUCCGCCACACUGGAACUGAGACACGGUCCAGACUCCUACGGGAGGCAGCAGUGGGGAAUUUUGGACAAUGGGCGCAAGCCUGAUCCAGCCAUGCCGCGUGAGUGAAGAAGGCCUCGGUGUAAGACGUCUUCUAGCCGG
rnacentral:rRNA from 1 species